CAAGAGGGCAGCAGAAAGGCAGAGAAGGCCCCGGAGAAGCAGAGCUGAGGUUCCUAAAGCUAUAAUUUUGGGCGUAGUAUUUUCAAAACCAUGCUUCAAAAAUCAAAUCACAUCCGUAAGCUUUUAAAAUAACCCCAGUCAGUCCAAUUGCCUGUGUCUCUUUGAAAGAAAAAUCAGAUCUACGUCUUAUAGGGAAACAUCUGUUUGCAGCUGCUGAUGGUUCAUGCCAAUAUUCAUAUCUGGUCCAAACGCUUCAGAAUCCGUGACUGUUCAGUGUUCAGCCUUAAAUGGGACAUCUUAUAUCCAUCUCUUUCAAGGCUCAGGAAACAUCUUGAAAGAAACUCUUGAGCUCGUUGGCAGGAUCCGUUGUCUACAGAGGCCCAUGGGUAAAGAGGAGCAUCAUGUUUUGUGAUUGAAAGACUCACUGAGGACAAGACUGUACAUAAUUAGACACACAGUGUCAAUCACUUUGGGAGAAUGUUUUAAAAUAUACUUUUAGUUAGAAGUUGAUAGGUUUUUUUAUUAAGCAUUUUUAAAAAAUCUGACAGUAUAGAUAUGACCAAUGAAGAACUGGACUGGAGAGUAAAACAUGCAUGAAUGCUACCCAAGUUAUAUUAAUGAUCUAAAUGAUAUGGACAGAGUACUACGGGAAUGUGGGAACUCCUCAUGAGUAAAGUGAGGAGGAAGAGUGAAGAUCCAAGCUCACCUACAGGCUACCCUGACCUUUCUGCUUCUUCUCUGUCAG
ensembl:lncRNA